CUUUUAUUUGAAUAUACAGUAGUGGAGUCAGAUUGCGUCUGAUGUUUUUCUCUUUAUCUGUGACUGACUAAUGCAAGACAUACAGUUAAAUAACUAAGCAGCAAUGCGUCUAGUCCUCAGGAAUGAAAAUAACACACUCAAAACGUUAAUUUAGGAACCUUUUAUUGGAUCGUUCCUGUAAAUAGUCAAGCAUUCAUUCAAACCAACUAGGGGAUUGCGCUAUUCAGAACCAUGGAUUUGCACAUUCUGGAUCACAGACUGCGAGUGACCAGCAUUUGCAAAAAUGGUCUGGUCAAUUUCACUCACCCCCUCAUCAAACUCAUUUUCCUGCGGAACAGAGCAAGAUGCAAGUUCUUCAGUCUGACAGAGACCCCAGAGAACUACACUGUUGUCCUGGAUGAAGAGGGAUUUAAAGAGCUGCAGCCCUCAGAGCAUCUACUGGUCGAAAGUUCCGUGUGGCUGCCACUCAACGUGGUCUCCAAUGGCAACUCCUCCAGCAGCUCGCAGGCGGUGGGCGUGACCAAAAUCGCUAAGUCUGUCAUCGCCCCAUUGGCCCAGCAGCACGUGUCAGUCUUCAUGCUCUCGACCUAUCAGACAGACUUCAUCCUGGUGAGGGAGAAGGACCUGGCUGUCGUUAUUAACACUCUGGGGGAAGAGUUCAACAUCUACAGAGAGGUGGGGGGAGAGUACUCUGCUGUUCUCAGCCAAGAUGUCCACAAUGGCUUCCAGAAGAACGGCAAAGAAGCCCCCCAGCUGACAGUGCACCCUUUGCUGAUACCUCAGAACCAGUUCUGUGUGAUGAGUCUGGACCCAGACACUCUGCCUGCCAUCGCAACAACACUCAUCGACGUUCUCUUCUACUCCAACAGUCCUAAAGAGGGCGCUCUUCCCAGCCAGGACCUGGACUGUAUCAAGUUCUUUUCCUUCUCUCUGAUCGAUGGCUACGUCUCUCUGGUCAUGGACACAGAGGCACAAAGACAGUUCCCUGCUGAUCUUCUCUUCACAAGUUCCUCCAGGGAGCUGUGGAGGAUGGUGCGCAUUGGGGGACAGCCUCUGGGUUUCGACGAGUGUGGCAUUGUUGCCCAGAUAUCCCAGCCCUUGGCCGAUAACGACAUCUCAGCCUAUUAUAUCAGCACCUUCAGCUUCGACCAUGCCCUGGUACCUGAAGAGGACAUAGUGAGUGUGACUGAGAUGCUCCGGCAGCACAGGAAAGAGCCAGCCUGCUGAUGGCGACCUGGCGGCUUGGUCCAUACUACACCCCUCUCCGUGUCCUGGGGCAGUACAGGUCUGAAGAGAGAUGCGAACUACGUGCCUAGACUAGCACUGCAGCGUGAGCAGUAUUAACCAUGAACUUUGUUGCCAUCAUGACCACCAAAAGCGCUUCAAGGAAGGGGUGUCUGAAGAGAGCCUCUUGUCUUCCCAGAAUUCCUUGGGAAACGCAUUGUUUGGACGCUGCCAGGACCCCUGACCAAUGGGACAAGGGGAUUGGUGAACUGAAGUACUGUUGUGAUGAUGGUAACACUGUACUUAAGGCCUGCAGUGAUCAUGUUGGAGACAGCACGUGCAGCACCCCACUCUGGAAAUGUGGACAAGUAUCAGAAGGCUUUAGAACAAACCAUAAAGCUUUCCAAACUGUCGGAUCAUGAAGCUGGCGUCCUCCUGACGAGUUACAUGAAAACAAAUUGCUUCCUGAACGACCAGAAGGCCCUCAGCAUGGAUGGUGUUCCCUCAGCAACCAUCGCUGGCUCCACCCCUAAGGAGAAGCUUCGGAACAUCUCCAACAAAGCCAUGAUCUUCCACUGGCACAUCGACAUGGUAACCAAAUACAUGACUAACAUGUUGGAGGACUCAGAUAAUGACACUCAGAUUCUUCUGGGUCUCCUGAGCAAUUCCGGGGACCGUCUCGAGAAUCUAUCUGGCUGCGUAGAGGUGCUCCUGCAGAUUCAGGACCCAAACACACCUUCUACUACGUCCACUAAGCCCCAAGACGUGCUCUGUGAGGACUAUGAGAAAAAGCUCUAUGGCUGGGCUGUGCUAAAUGGGCACAAGGAAUUUCUGGCCAUGGUGUUACAGGAAGUUGCUGGCUUUAAGAAUAAUACUGUGUGAGGAUUAUACAAAGUGGUUGUUUGUCACCCAAGGGUGAUUUUAGGAUAUUUAUUCCAAAAUAAUCAGGUAUUUCAUGUAACUGAACAAUCGGGACAAAGGCCAACUGCCAAUAAUAUAAAUGUGAAAGAGAAGAGUUUGAUUGCUGCACAGUAUAUAUUUUAUAUCUAUUUUUUUUAAUUAUUAUUAUUUUUGAAACAGUCCAGAACACGGUCCUGAAACAGUCUUGAAUCAAAUUCAUUGGUUUGCUCUUACAGUUAUCACAUGUUGUAUUCAUAUUUAAGCUACUCAGUUCACUCUCUUUAAGAUAUUUUGUCCCUACUGCUCCUUGUCUAUGGCGCCUCAAUUAUUCCCUUAUGCCCCACAUGGCAGAUACAUUGAGGUCAAUGAGGUAGUGGACGGUAAACUCAAGUAAACGCAGAUUAGGGUUAGGGAUCUAAUUACCCACGAAGCUCAGGGAUUUUGCUCAUCAUUUUGUUUAUGACAACAUCCCUGGUUGAAGGUAGCCUGGUCGAACGAGUCAAAAUUGAAGGAGCAUCUCCGCCUGACUGAGCUGAUGCACAGGGGUGAUGGUGGUUGUGGUUAUAGAGUGAAGCAGAACCACGGGAAGUGGUACAGGCACUUCCCAGACAGUGAAAGGUUGUCCCAAAUGGCACUCUAUUCUCUAGUGAACUACUUUUGACCAGAGCCCAAGUAGUUCACUAAAUUGGGAAUAGGGUGCCAUUUGGGAUGCAGUCACUGGCUCCCUAAUCAGUCACAUCUCAUGACUUCCUCCCUGCAUCCUCACACAAAACAGAUCGCAGGCUGACGUCUGUCAGUUUCAUUCUGAUGCUGGAUACUAAAGCGUUGCCUAUGCCAUAGAUGGUCAUUGUAUACUACAAAUGUAUGCAUUUGUGUACUGUAGGUUGUUUUUUAGGUUGCUUAAUGGCCUAUUUAACCGUACACUAUAUGGGUUUGUGUUUAAACUUGACACUUUUGGUCUCUUAGCUACGUGGUCGCCUUUUUAUAAACUGGACAUUUGUGUUCAAUUUGUCAUGCGAUUGAUAUGAACACCUCAAAAAGAAGAAUCAAAUAGGUGAUGUUCCCUUCAAGAACUGGAGCUGUAGGUAGUAAACACUGUAAAUGUUAUUCAUAUUUAAUAUAAAAACAAUAUGAAUAUAGUAAUGAAUGACUACUUUUACUGUAUUUGUUUUGCCAUACAUAUUAAAAGCUCGGAGUAGCCAAAAUUCAAAGUUUUGUUUUUCCUUUGUUUUGUAUGAAAUGUGUACAACAGCUGAUGAAACGAACACUGUACAUGUGAAACGUGAUCAGUGUCAUUUCCCCAAUAGUUGAUGGUUGAAAAUCAACACAGAACCUUAAAUUCAGCUGGUUCUGCUUGGCUGGAGCUGUGGAUUGCUUCAGGACAUCACCAGGCAAAAAUAAUAAAGACUCUAACAAACGUCUAUGCCAAUAUCUGCUAGCUUUCAAGUUACAUAUUCCUACCAUUCAGCUUCCCUGCUUCACUUCUAUGGUAAUGCACUGCUCAGGUCCUCUUCCCCGCUCCAAUUCUGUUCUCACCCUGAUCUGUUUCACCUGUCUUUGUGAUUGUCUCCACCCCUCUCCAGGUGUCGCCCAUCUUCCCUAUGAUGCCCUGUGUAUUUAUACCUGUGUUCUCUGUUUGUCUAUUGCCAGUUGGUUUUGUUUGUAAAACCUACCAGUGUUUGUUUACCUGCUCCUGCCUGGUUUCCAGCUCCUGUUUUCUAGUCCCUCCAGGUUUUGACCAUUCUGCCUGCCCUGACCCUGAGACAGCCUGCUGUUUUGUACCUUACCCCACCGUUCUGGUUUACUGACACCUGCCUUCCCUGACCUUGAGACUGCCUGCCCUUCUGGACCCUUUACACCCUUUCUGGAUUACUGACCCCUGCCUGUCUUGACCUGUUGUUUGCCUGCCCCUG